CAAUUUUUAAAAAUGCACAAGUUAUAAAUACAGAAGAAAGAGCAACCCACCAAACCUAACAAGGACCCCCGAACACUUUCAUACUAAGACUGUAAGUAGAUCUCAGUUCUGCGUUUAUUGUAAGUUGAUAAAAACAUCUGGAAGAAAAUGACUAAAACUGUUUGCAUCUUUGUAUGUAUUUAUUACUUGAUGUAAUAAAGCUUAUUUUCAUUAACAAUUUGUAUUAAAAUGUGGGUUCCUUGAAUUCUUACGUGCUGUUUUAUUUUUUUGAGACAGGGUCUUGUUUUGCCACCCAGGCUGGAGUGCAGUAAUGUAAUCUUGGCUCACCGCAGCCUCAACCUCCUGGGCUCAAGCAAUCCUCCCAUCUCAGCCUCCCUAGUGGCUGGAACUACAGAAAGGGUACACUCGCCAGCAGUUUUGCCACGAGAGUACACCGAACAAAGAGACAGGGUCAUUUGUAACCUGAUGCGUCCACCCUACUGCUGUGUCCGGUUUCCAUUGGCUGGAACGGGACCUCACAUUCUGUAUUUGUCCUGAUUGGGAAGCAACUUAAAACUUUUUAAAAGAGGCGAAGGCAGAAGAGAACAAAGGAAGGAGAAAGUAACUUGUGGAAUGGUGAGAAAGGCAUGAGGCGAAUUCUCAGCCGUGACAAGGCUGAAGGCCAGCAGGAACAGGCUCUAGCAAAAUGGGUGCUGUGUCCCCUUCCUGCAUGUGGCAGAAAGUUGCAAAGGUAUGAGAGAGGAGACAAAUGGAAACCAUUCUCCCUUAUCUCCAGCUCCAAAUUUCCCUUCCCACU
rnacentral:antisense_RNA from 1 species